rnacentral:snoRNA from 1 species
AUUACAUGAUGGGGACAUUCUAGGAUGUAGUCUUGAAAGCGCUCCCAUGCUUCUGGAACUGAUUCAUCAUUUUGUUGCUGAAAACUUGUAAUCUUCCCACAGAGAGC